rnacentral:sRNA from 1 species
UAUUACCGAACGGGGAGAGAGGUGACGA